UACGUAGGGCGCAAGCGUUGUCCGGAAUUAUUGGGCGUAAAGAGCUCGUAGGCGGCUUGUCACGUCGGGUGUGAAAGCCCGGGGCUUAACCCCGGGUCUGCAUUCGAUACGGGCUAGCUAGAGUGUGGUAGGGGAGAUCGGAAUUCCUGGUGUAGCGGUGAAAUGCGCAGAUAUCAGGGGAACACCGGUGGCGAAGGCGGGUCUCUGGGCCGAUACUGACGCUGAGGAGCGAAAGCGUGGGAGCGAACAGG
rnacentral:rRNA from 1 species